rnacentral:rRNA from 1 species
CNUGGGAACUGCGUUCUGAACUGGGUGACUAGAGUGUNUCAGAGGGAGGUAGAAUUCCACGUGUAGCAGUGAAAUGCGUAGAGAUGUGGAGGAAUACCGAUGGCGAAGGCAGCCUCCUGGGAUAUCACUGACGUUCAUGCCCGAAAGCGUGGGUAGCAAGCAGGAUUAGAUACCCUGGUAGUCCACGCCCUAAACGAUGUCGAUUAGCUGUUGGGCAGCAUGACUGCUUAGUAGCGAAGCUAACGCGUGAAAUCGACCGCCUGGGGAGUACGGUCGCAAGAUUAAAACUCAAAGGAAUUGACGGGGACCCGCACAAGCGGUGGAUGAUGUGGAUUAAUUCGAUGCAACGCGAAGAACCUUACCUGGUCUUGACAUGUACGGAACCCUCCAGAGACGGAGGGGUGCCUUCGGGAGCCGUAACACAGGUGCUGCAUGGCUGUCGUCAGCUCGUGUCGUGAGAUGUUGGGUUAAGUCCCGCAACGAGCGCAACCCUUGUCAUUAGUUGCCAUCAUUAAGUUGGGCACUCUAAUGAGACUGCCGGUGACAAGCCGGAGGAAGGUGGGGAUGACGUCAAGUCCUCAUGGCCCUUAUGACCAGGGCUUCACACGUCAUACAAUGGUCGGUACAGAGGGUAGCCAAGCCGCGAGGUGGAGCCAAUCUCACAAAACCGAUCGUAGUCCGGAUUGCACUCUGCAACUCGAGUGCAUGAAGUCGGAAUCGCUAGUAAUCGCAGGUCAGCAUACUGCGGUGAAUACGUUCCCGGGUCUUGUACACAC